GACGAACGCUGGCGGCGUGCUUAACACAUGCAAGUCGAACGGAAAGGCCCUGCUUUUGUGCGGUGCUCGAGUGGCGAACGGGUGAGUAACACGUGAGUAACCUGCCCUUGACUUUGGGAUAACUUCAGGAAACUGGGGCUAAUACCGGAUAGGAGCUCCUGCUGCAUGGUGGGGGUUGGAAAGUUUCGGCGGUUGGGGAUGGACUCGCGGCUUAUCAGCUUGUUGGUGGGGUAGUGGCUUACCAAGGCUUUGACGGGUAGCCGGCCUGAGAGGGUGACCGGCCACAUUGGGACUGAGAUACGGCCCAGACUCCUACGGGAGGCAGCAGUGGGGAAUAUUGCACAAUGGGCGGAAGCCUGAUGCAGCAACGCCGCGUGCGGGAUGACGGCCUUCGGGUUGUAAACCGCUUUCGCCUGUGACGAAGCGUGAGUGACGGUAAUGGGUAAAGAAGCACCGGCUAACUACAUG
rnacentral:rRNA from 1 species